rnacentral:misc_RNA from 1 species
GAUGAAGAACGUAGCGAAAUGCGAUAAGUAAUGUGAAUUGCAGAAUUCAGUGAAUCAUCGAAUCUUUGAACGCACAUUGCGCCCCUUGGUAUUCCGAGGGGCAUGCCUGUUCGAGCGUCAUUAUAACCCCUCAAGCUCAGCUUGGUGUUGGGGCCUGCUGCACUGGCAGCCCUUAAAAUCAGUGGCGGCGCCAUCUGGCUCUAAGCGUAGUAAUUCUUCUCGCCAUGGAGUCCUGGUGGAUGCUUGCCAUCAACCCCCAAUUUUUCUAUGGUUGACCUCGGAUCAGGUAGGGAUACCCGCUGAACUUAAGCAUAUCAAUAAGCGGAGGA